AUGUCCCUUAUCUCGUUGCUUAUUGUUAUACUGAUGAUUUGGCCCUUAUCUCGUUGCUUAAUCUGUAUUGAGUUGUUUGUCCCUUGUUAUUCUUUACUUCAAAAUGCAUGUACAAGAGUAACAACUGUAGCAAAUUCGUGGACAGCAACUGCGUUUUGGCCAAUUGAAAUCCUUGGAUUUCUAAGACGUGAGACGCUGCACUUAGGCCUAUCUUAUUCCAUCACACUAUUUCCGUUAUUCUGGCUGACGAUUGAUGCUGUAAACUGCUUGCUAAGAAACUCUGGUGCUAUCUUGCCGUUUGCUCCUUCCGGGUAG
rnacentral:rRNA from 1 species